GAUGAACGCUGGCGGCGUGCCUAAUACAUGCAAGUCGAGCGAACAGACGAGGAGCUUGCUCCUCUGACGUUAGCGGCGGACGAGUGAGUAACACGUGGAUAACCUACCUAUAAGACUGGGAUAACUUCGGGAAACCGGAGCUAAUACCGGAUAAUAUAUUGAACCGCAUGGUUCAAUAGUGAAAGACGGUUUUGCUGACACUUAUAGAUGGAUCCGCGCCGCAUUAGCUAGUUGUUAAGGUAACGGCUUACCAAGGCAACGAUGCGUAGCCGAACUGGGAGGGUGAACGGCCAACCUGGGACUGGACAACGGUCCAGACUCCUAAGGGAGGCAGCCGGUGGGAAUUUUCGGCAAUGGGCGGAAGCCUGAACGAGCAACGGCGCGUGGGUGGAGAAAGUUUUCGGGUCGUAAAACCCUGUUGUUCGGGAAAAAAAAAUGGUGAAGUAAACCAGCAGGGUCUGAAGGUAACUGAUCAGAAAGCCACGGCUAACUACGUG
rnacentral:rRNA from 1 species